UAUAGGUGUAUAUGGAAAAAAAUUGCUCAUAAGAUCAAUUUUUUUUUCCAAGUAAUGGGAGAAUGUAACGAUCAGUAUCCCGAUCGUUACUAUAAGAUUCAUUUCUGUAACUAUUAAGUAUGCAACCCGGUAUACGUUCACUCGCAUAGAGUGUAAUCUAAACUUGAGCCCAUCAUAAUUAUUUUGGUUGGUAGUAUGGUUAGUGAAUUUUACAUUUAUUCGUUGGCUCAUGGGUAAAUGACAAUUUCCGCCUGUUGACAGGACGGAAAGAAAGUGAAAGUUGAUGGUUACUUGAUCUUCGGUAGCCGUCUGCAAAUGAUGUGAUUUUCCAGCGACCGGUGUCUAGCCAUUUUAUUUUAUUUAGAAAAUAAUUAUUUAGUUGAAAAGGAAUGCAUUUAAGUUGGAAAGAAGUUUAUUUUAUAGUAUAAAUUAUAGUGAGAGUGCUGUUUUAGUUCCAAUAUCGGAGGAUUCUGGACAUUGGUCGCUGGAGAAUAGAAGAUUUAGUCAACAGAAAUAAGAAUAAUUUUUGGGAAAGAGUGGGAAAUUUUGGGACAUAUUUGGAAGUUUUGAUUUUAUUGGAAUCUUGGUUUUUAUGGAAUUUAUUUUUUGGAAUUCGCCGGUACUGAGAGGUAUCUCCAGUUGGUAACAAGGAUACACCUCCCUCCUAGGUUGAGGAACACCGCAAGCUACCUUCCUUGGGCCUCUGAUCAUUCCCUGGAAAGAGUUGGAGAACCCAUGGUCACUUGGUAGACCGGACAGGUUUUUAUAAGUCAAUUUGAUUGUAAUUUGUUUUAAUAAUAUUUGCACUUUUACCUAUUUUUUUUUGUAUCAAUAACUUAAUAAUCCUAAUAAUAGUAUACCUUCAUUUUCUUAAACAUAAUUAAACUAAACAAUAAUUUUUCAAAAAUUUUAUAUUUCAAGGUUAGCUCAUUUAUUUUAAAAUAGUAGGGGGGAUUAUAAACUAUCUGUAAAGAUAGUGUGCACAUUAUCUCAGUUUGAAUCCUUAUCGAAACUUUGAUUUCAUUGUCAGGUAUUAUACUUACGUUUAUCACCUCCGAACAGAUACGAUAUUGUCAGCCAAUAUUGGCUUCUUCAUUAACAACAAAUUUGUACCUACAUACAUUUUUACAUUAAUUAACUUUCAUAUAUAAACCAUUCAUUACAUAUUUUUCACAUAUUGUAAAAACCUGUGUUAUCAACAGGAGUGUCAUAGCUUAGUACGUCCGGUUUAGCUAGUGUAUAAAAAUUGUAUAUAGGGGUUAUAGGUUUGUUUCAUUAAAUUUGUUAGUUGUACCUAAA